rnacentral:rRNA from 1 species
UACGUAGGGUGCGAGCGUUGUCCGAAUUAUUGGGCGUAAAGGGCUCGUAGGCGGUUUGUCGCGUCGGGAGUGAAAACUCAGGGCUUAACCCUGAGCCUGCUUCCGAUACGGGCAGACUAGAGGUAUGCAGGGGAGAAUGGAAUUCCUGGUGUAGCGGUGAAAUGCGCAGAUAUCAGGAGGAACACCGGUGGCGAAGGCGGUUCUCUGGGCAUUACCUGACGCUGAGGAGCGAAAGUGUGGGGAGCGAACAGG